rnacentral:rRNA from 1 species
UACGAAGGGGGCUAGCGUUGCUCGGAAUCACUGGGCGUAAAGCGCACGUAGGCGGAUUGUUAAGUCAGGGGUGAAAUCCUGGAGCUCAACUCCAGAACUGCCUUUGAUACUGACGGUCUUGAGUUCGGGAGAGGUGAGUGGAACUGCGAGUGUAGAGGUGAAAUUCGUAGAUAUUCGCAAGAACACCAGUGGCGAAGGCGGGUCUCUGGACAGUUCCUGACGCUGAUGCACGAAGGCCAGGGGAGCAAACGGG